ACUUCUAAAUUUUGUCUGGGAAGAAGCUUUGAUAUUUGCUCCAAAAGUCUCCUCAGCUGUGUGUAGAUCCUGUGGCAUUUGGUGUGGAGAGUUGAAGCUGGUCAGCUGGGACGUUGGCCGUUUCAGGCCUCCACGUGCCUUCGGCUGCAGGAGCUGCUACAGCUCACCCAGCUAGCCUGAUGGUUAGCUGCAGUGAACCUUCAGCAGAUUUCAGCUGCUGAAAACAAGCGUCUAAAAUAUGUCGGAGUGGGAGGCGGACCCGGAGUAACGACGGAGUCUCAAUAUAUUAUUUUUUGAAAGUUGAGCACCUGGGAAAUACAGAAGUUUCCAGAAUUUCUGCCUCUGCUGUGUCUCUUCUAUGGAUAAAUAAAGAAAUGAAAAAUAACAUCAGGGACCACUAAGAUGUCCUGGGGGAA
rnacentral:lncRNA from 1 species